AACGUAGGGGACAAGCGUUAUCCGGAUUUACUGGGCGUAAAGCGCCCGUAGGCGGCUUUUUAAGUUGGACGUGAAAGCUCCCGGCUUAACUGGGAGAGGCCGUUCAAAACUGAGAGGCUAGAGUGAGGCAGAGGAGCGCGGAAUUCCCGGUGUAGUGGUGGAAUGCGUAGAUAUCGGGAGGAACACCAGUGGCGAAAGCGGCGCUCUGGGCCUAAACUGACGCUGAGGGGCGAAAGCGUGGGGAGCGAAC
rnacentral:rRNA from 1 species